ACAAUGUCUUACACAAAGCUGCUAGAAGAGGAGAACUCGAAUUGGUCGAAUUGUUACUUGAAAUAUCAAAUAUAGAUCCAAAUCAAAGGAAUAAGUUCAACAAAGCACCGUUUGAUUAUAUACAUGAAAACAGCAACGAUUCGGACAAAGAAAGAGAAGACAAAAAUGCAAUUAAACGAUUACUUAAGUCAAAUAUGACCAAUGACAAAAGAGGCCCUAAAGACACUCCGACUGUUAUGCAACAAGACGAAACACUACAAGAGACGUCUGAAAACGAGGGAG